GCAUUAGUGUCAGCUUCAUUCCUCUGAGUCCCGGACACACUCCCAAAUAGACCAAUCAUCAAGAUCCCUGUGUGAGAGAGGGAAAAGCGUCCUCAGCUAUCCUCGUGGCCAUGGCAGAACCUGCAUUUCAGCAAUCAUCCACAGGAGCUUGCUGUUGUUGCUUGCUGUUAAUAGAAAGAUCCGAGCCAUAAUCCAGAGCGAUUCCUCCAGAGGAACACUUGAUUAAGAUGUCAGUGAAUCAGGAGGACUGAUUAAGAUUGUGCCAAGCCAGCCAAGAUUAGUGCUUAACCGAUUGGGAACCUUUCAUGGUGACAUGAGCUACAGGCCACUCAUGCAGAGCAAACAUAAGGGGCCAGGUUGCUAGGAUACACAUGUACAGCCAUAAAACAAUCUGCCUCUGUCCAAGCACUUGAUGCUACAAUAAUUUUCCCCCAUUGUGGACUGCACAAUGUGUCUUCACAGGUUUCACUGAUUGUCUGAGAUUACUGCAUGUUAUGCGUUUGGCAAUGCAGCUCAGCAGUGCUUCACCCUUUUUUAAAUCAAAUUUUUAUUUCAUUAAAGAAGAUCACAUGCAGAAUAAUAUCGAAGUGCUUCUAAUGAGAGUAAUGUAGAGUUCUCUGUUCGCUCCCCGCGAUUUGUUCCUUGCAGAGGGCCGACCUGCUCUGAUUGCCUGAUUAAUAUGUUUUGAAAGCUGUAAUUAAGACAGAGGUCGACAUGCACAUAAUUCUAUUAUUUGAUCUACUGAAGCAACAAAUUUCAGAGUUGAGUCACUCUUCUAUGAAAGAGGCUUAGGAUUUUAAAUGGCCAUGUUUCAGUGCAGUGGGUUCUUCCGUUCUCUUUUUCAUUUUCACAGCAUAGUGCUUUGCUAUGCAUGCAUUCAUUCUUUUUCAAUCUUCUCUUUAGGAUUUAUUCAGUGAAAACCAGGAAAUAUCAGGAAUUUAUUUAAUUAGCGACAUCCAGGUUUGAAGAAUUCAAGCUCUUAAGUCGAAUUCUGUAGUAAAUAAAAUAUAUAUUUUUUCUAUUUCUGCUUGGCUAGCCAGAAUAUUUCACCAGCUAGAGAGUUCUUUUCAUAAGUGAAAUUCAUGAAAAAAUGUUUGUAUAUAUCAGGGGUGUUUCCUCUGAGGAGGCAAGCGAGGCAGUGCCUCCUCAAAAUAUUGGAUGAGAAAAAAAUUUGUUGUACAAAAAUAAAACAACGCCAUAUUACAAAAUAUAACAUUAAAAAGUUAUUAAAUCAAUAAUUUUUCUAAACAAACGUUGUCCAACAGUGACACCAGCAGGUAAAUUUACAACGAGAGUCCACAUCUCUCUCGCCUCCCCUGAGCCCAUUGAGUUUUAACAAACCCCCUACAGCUUGCCGCCUAUCCCACCUCUUGUGUUCGUGCAUGUUCCACAUUCGCGAAUCAGUCUGAAUGAACAAUAUAAUGGCUAAUAACUCACAAACUUAGAUAUAACCACUUUUUUUCAAAAUAAGAGUUAAAAUGGCUUGAAAAUAUGAUCUGUGGGAGUUUUUAGUGAGUAGUAAAAUUUCAAGUAAAUCUCUAUGUCUGUGACCAGUAUUUACUGUGCUUUAAUGACUGAUAAAAGUUAAAAGUUAAUUAUUAAAAAGAAUAGCUGAACAUAAGUUCACAAAUAAAAUAAAUAUUCUUUAAAUUGUUAUUUCCUUGAGUUAUUAUUUUGGAACAAAUGUAAAAUGCUUAAAAACACUAACUUGAUGAGAUUCGUAUUUGGAUUUAAAGGGGACCUAUUAUGCCCCUUUUUACAAGAUGUAAAAUAAGUCUCUGAUGUCCCCAGAGCAUAUAUGUGAAAUUUUAGCUCAGAAUACCCCACAGAUAAAUUUGUAUAGCUUGUUAAAAUUGCCACUUUUAGGGUAUGAGCCCAAACGCCCUGAUUUUGAGUAUGUUGCUUUAAAUGCAAAUGAGCUGUUGCUCCCGGAGAAGAGGGCAGAGCUUCAAGAGCUCAAGCUCCCCAUUAGCAGUGCUAGCCUUUGCAAAUAAACAUUCCACUAUUAGUACAAGCCUGUUAUUUUUACAGAAAACAUACUCCGUUUCAAAGUCAGUCAUACUGUGCAUAAUAAAUGAGUGUUUAUGAAUUACACAGACGGGGAGCACGGCAGGAUAAAAAUAACAACAUUGCUGGUCUCAUGCUAUCACAAAUUUUAUAAGUCCCACUUCUGAUUAUGAGCUUGACAAGCGAUCGACUCACAUUGCUUUCAUAUGCAACUUUUAACUACCACAUUCCUAUUUAAGAUCAUUCUGGUAGCACUUGAAGACAGCAUCAGUGAAAACAGGCAAUGAUAUCUUUAGCAAUUAGCCUUAGAGUGCCAAGAAGCUCUUUCAGAAAGGCAAUUUGGAAAACAAAUGCAUGAUACUUACUUUGUCU